ensembl:snoRNA U3 Small nucleolar RNA U3
AAAAAUAAACUAUAUGUUCAGGGAUCAUUUCUAUAGUUCGUUACUGGAGAAGUUUCUCUGAACCUGCAGAGCACCAGAAACCAUGAGAAGGAGAUGCAGCUUUCUCUCCCGAGUGUGAAGCCGGCUCGGUGUUGCUUCUGCAGCUAUUAGCCACUGAUAAUCGUUCUUCUCUUCCUUUUGGAGAGUAAGAGGGAGAGGGUGUAGUUUGAGUGGU